GACGAACGCUGGCGGCGUGCCUAAUACAUGCAAGUAGAACGCACAGUUUAUACCGUAGCUUGCUACACCAUAGACUGUGAGUUGCGAACGGGUGAGUAACGCGUAGGUAACCUGCCUGGUAGCGGGGGAUAACUAUUGGAAACGAUAGCUAAUGCCGCAUAAUAUUAAUUAUUGCAUGAUAAUUAAUUGAAAGGUGCAAUUGCACCACUACCAGAUGGACCUGCGUUGUAUUAGCUAGUAGGUGAGGUAACGGCUCACCUAGGCGACGAUACAUAGCCGACCUGAGAGGGUGAUCGGCCACACUGGGACUGAGACACGGCCCAGACUCCUACGGGAGGCAGCAGUAGGGAAUCUUCGGCAAUGGACGAAAGUCUGACCGAGCAACGCCGCGUGAGUGAAGAAGGUUUUCGGAUCGUAAAGCUCUGUUGUAAGAGAAGAACGGGUGUGAGAGUGGAAAGUUCACACUGUGACGGUAUCUUACCAGAAAGGGACGGCUAACUACGUG
rnacentral:rRNA from 1 species